AUUGAACGCUGGCGGCAGGCCUAACACAUGCAAGUCGAGCGAGCGGCGGACGGGUGAGUAAUGUAUGGGGAACUGCCCGAUAGAGGGGGAUAACUACUGGAAACGGUGGCUAAUACCGCAUACUGUCGGAUGUACCCAGAUGGGAUUAGCUAGUAGGUGAGGUAAUGGCUCACCUAGGCGACGAUCCCUAGCUGGUCUGAGAGGAUGAUCAGACACACUGGAACGGAGACACGGUCCAGACUCCUACGGGAGUCAGCAGUGGGGAAGAUUGGACAAUGGGCGCAAGCCUGAGGCAGCCAUGCCGCGUGUGUGAAGAAGGCUUUCGGGUUGUAAAGCACUUUCAGCGGGGAGGCGUUACCCGCAGAAGAAGCACCGGCUAACUCCGUGCCAGCCGCCGCGAUAAUUC
rnacentral:rRNA from 1 species